rnacentral:tRNA from 1 species
GCUUGGCUGGCUCAGUCAGUAGAGCAUGUGACUCUUGAUCUCAGGACUCUGAGUUCAAGCCCCAUGUUGGGUG